rnacentral:lncRNA from 10 species
GAUCCGCCCCGGCGCGGCCGCCUCGCCAAACAGUUCGCAGAUGCCCACCCUCUCUCUCUGCCCCUGUCUCCUUCACAUAUCCCCAAAACUCGUUUUGGCCCGAAAUCCCUGAGGCCCAACUGCCCUGCUGUCAGCGACUGCACGCCUCAGCAAAGGCCCAGAAGGCUCUGUCAUCACUGGCUGCCCUCAGCCCGCCUUCAGCUCCUUUGAGCGCUGUGUUGGGGAACUUUGUUGCAAGGAUUUCGUUCCAGAAGGCAAGAUAAUGUCUCUGAGGGCUUCAUUGUGUCACUUCUCUUUGGAUGGCGGACACCGUGGCCCUCUGCUGGCGGAGGGGUGCCAUUGCUGCCUGCCCCAUCUCUAUCCCCAGGGCCCAUGCAGUCACUGGGUUCGCCCUCUGGGGCACGGGGUUCCCUCUGCUCUUUUCCUAGAUAAGCCCAUUCUCUGCAGGUCUCUACCCUCCACACCUGUGUUCAGGAAUUCAGCCCGCUUCCUGCAGCCCCAUCCCUACCCUCCUCCCAACCUGCUUUUCUUCUGGUGUCCCUCACUCAGCAUGGCUAACAGAUCCACCACCCAACGGAGCUGAGAACUGCAGUCCCCUCUGCCUGUUACCUCUCCUGCCAUUAGUGAACCUGCUUAACUCAUCUGACUGUGCGUCUCGGUGCUUGCUGUGACAUGUCUCCAGCCCUUGCUGCUCUGUCCCCCAGACCCACGUCCCACACCCGGAUGGUGACUCAGCCGACUCUGGGUCUUCUGGACCCAGUGCUUCUCCCUGAUACAAUUCCUUCCUCUGUGUUUUAGGAUCCUGAUGCUUUGAUAAGACCGUGGGCUCUAAUCACAGCCAGGGACAUUUGCAGCAGCCUGGCCUGCAGCUCUGCACACUGGGUGCACUCAGUCUAAAGCACCAGCUCCCCAUGAGAGAGAAAGAAGGGGUGAGGGGAAGUACAGAGAAAGCUCCUGAGGCCACAGGGCUGACAAAGCCCUCGGCUUUGGGGGCACUUUGUUUCUUCAAGACUAAAAUGCAGGCAAUGGAAUAAAUCAUUUGUUCCUAAAACAUGUUCUGCACAUGAUUAAAGCAGCUUUGGGAAGUCAAGUAAAUUGGGAAGCACUGGAUCAAACAAUGAUAAAUAAGUUUAUUGUCUGCAGGCCUUCUCAGAGCCUGUAGCAAGGUGAGAAGAAUCAUGCUUCUACAAAGAGGAAGGAGGGCAUGAGACAGUAUGCAACCUGUCCCAAACCCAUUUAGCCACAGAACCCUUUUUUCACGAGGUACCUCAAGGUUCCGUGGAGCAUAAUU